AUACGUAGGUGACAAGCGUUAUCCGGAUUUACUGGGCGUAAAGGGCGUGUAGGCGGUCUUGCAAGUCAGAAGUGAAAUUCCUGAGCUCAACUCGGGCGCUGCUUCUGAAACUGCAGGACUUGAGUGCUGGAGGGGAUAGCGGAAUUCCUAGUGGAGCGGUAAAAUGCGCAGAUAUUAGGAAGAACACCGGUGGCGAAGGCGGCUAUCUGGACAGUAACUGACGCUGAGGCGCGAAAGCGUGGGGAGCAAACAGGAUUAGAUCCCCUGGUAGUCCACGCCGUAAACGAUGAAUACUAGGUGUAGGGGGUAUCGACUCCCUCUGUGCCGCAGUCAACACAAUAAGUAUUCCGCCUGGGGAGUACGGCCGCAAGGUUGAAACUCAAAUGAAUUGACGGGG
rnacentral:rRNA from 1 species